CCCCCCUGACACUGGUCCGUACUGGUCCGUACUGGUCCAGACUGGUCUUGACACUGGUCCGUACCGAUCCGUACUGGUCCGUACUGGUCCGUACUGGUCCGUACUGGUUGACACUGGUCCGUACCGAUCCGUCCUGGUCCGUACUGGUCCGUACUGGUCCGUACUGGUUGACACUGGUCCGUACCGAUCCGUCCUGGUCCGUACUGGUCCGUACUGGUCCGUACUGGUUGACACUGGUCCGUACCGAUCCGUCCUGGUCCGUACUGGUCCGUACUGGUCCGUACUGGUUGACACUGGUCCGUACCGAUCCGUCCUGGUCCGUACUGGUCCGUACUGGUCCGUACUGGUUGACACUGGUCCGUACCGAUCCGUCCUGGUCCGUACUGGUCCGUACUGGUCCGUACUGGUUGACACUGGUCCGUACCGAUCCGUCCUGGUCCGUACUGGUCCGUACUGGUCCGUACUGGCUGACACUGGUCCGUACUGGUGCAGCACGACGGCGAUGUCUCGGAUUACACGUACGAGCGGACGCUGAUGAUGGAGCAGCGCUCGCAGAUGCUGCGGCAGCUGCGCCGCGCACAGGGAGGCCACGCCCCCUCGCAGCCGCCCAGCGCUGAGGAGGAGGAGGGAGGAGACCCCCGGAGGGGCCCCAGCCCGUGAGUGAACUGGGAGCACUGGGGGGACUGGGGGGGACUGCCCCCCCCCCCCCCCCCCCCCCCCCCCCCCCCCCCCCCCCCCCCCCC
rnacentral:lncRNA from 12 species